UUCAUAGACAGCAGGCGGAGGUGGGGACUGGCGCGCCGCAGGGUGAGUUGACCUGGUUGGGGAGUCGUCAUGGGUGAUGGAAGACGAGGCGGCUUCCAGCCCGGCGGCGACGACUUGGCAGCACUGGGUGAUACUGCAAGGAGACAAGAGACCGGCGACCCAGUUGCCGGAGCCCAGAAACUUCCAGUGCGGAGAAGGGAGAAUGUGAGAAACGCCAGGAGGAGCACCAUCCAGACGGAGGGGAGGGAACGAGGAAGAGAGAGAGAGAGAAGAGAGAGAGAGAGAGAGAGAGAGAGAGAGAGAGAGUANNNNNNNNNNNNNNNNNNNNGAGGGAGGGAGGAGGAGAGAGAGAGAGAGAGAGAGAGAGAGAGAGAGAGAGAGAGAGAGAGAGAGAGUAUCCACGACCUCCCAUUUUUCGGCGGCUGAUGAAGCCCAUGAAACGGUGAUCAAGGCAUGCAUACUAAUGAAGUAACCUAUCUACAUGACAACGAGACAG
rnacentral:lncRNA from 1 species